rnacentral:rRNA from 1 species
CGGGAGUAACACCUGGAAACAGAUGCUAAUACCGGAUAACAACAGAUGAUGCCUAUCAACUGUUUAAAAGAUGGUUCUGCUAUCACUCUUGGAUGGACCUGCGGUGCAUUAGCUAGUUGGUAGGGUAACGGCCUACCAAGGCGAUGAUGCAUAGCCGAGUUGAGAGACUGAUCGGCCACAUUGGGACUGAGACACGGCCCAAACUCCUACGGGAGGCAGCAGUC